rnacentral:rRNA from 1 species
AAGGAUGAAACCUUCCUGAGCGACUCGUUAGG